UGGGGAAUUUUCCGCAAUGGGCGCAAGCCUGACGGAGCAAUACCGCGUGAGGGAGGAAGGCUUUUGGGUUGUAAACCUCUUUUCUCAAGGAAGAAGCACUGACGGUACUUGAGGAAUCAGCAUCGGCUAACUCCGUGCCAGCAGCCGCGGUAAUACGGAGGGUCCAAGCGUUGUCCGAAAUUACUGGGUGUAAAGGGUGUGCAGGCGGAGCGGAAAGUCAGAGGUGGAAGCCCGCAGCUUAACUGCGGAAUGGCCUUUGAUACUACCGCUCUUGAGUCCCGGAGAAGCUGUCGGAAUUCGUGGUGUAGCGGUGAAAUGCGUAGAUAUCACGAGGAACACCAGAAGCGUAAGCGGACAGCUGGACGGUGACUGACGCUCAGGCACGAAAGCGUGGGGAGCAAACAGGAUUAGAUACCCCCGUAGUC
rnacentral:rRNA from 1 species